rnacentral:rRNA from 1 species
AUGGACGCGCCGGAGAAGGCGCCGCCGACCAGGAUGUUGGCGCCCACGAUGAAGCCGAUGGCGAUGGGCGCGAUGGUGCCCAGGCUGCCCUUCUUGGGGUCCACGGCCGUGGCGUACACCGUGUACACCAGCCCGAAGGUCAUCACGAUCUCCAGCACCACCGCCUCCCACGCGCCGAUGCCGGUCAGCCCGAAGGUGCCGGUGGGGAGCCCGCCGGUGGAGAAGCGGAGGAGGAAGCAGGCGGCGGUGGAGCCCAGGAGCUGGGCGACCCAGUAG